CUCAGUAUCCUUCCAGACAGUGGGGAGGUAGGGUAUAACACUUGCCUUCGUAUAAUCUCUUGCUUUCGGUGAGGUGUUGAAGUGUGUGAAGUAACAGUUGCAUAAUAAGAGCAAAAAUUAAUGGAGGAAAAUCAAGCACAAGAUUGAUAAGUAGAAACGAUUCACAGGAAGAGGCACAUCCUUUGAUACAGUGGCACAUUCACUAUAACGACAAGGGAGUGUAACGACAGCUUAUAACCAUGAAUGUAACAGUGGGGAUCCAUGGGUAUGGCGAGUAGGUAGCGAAAUACCGUAACGUGCUAGGACUGUGUCACCAUGUUUGCGAGGUCUUGCAUUGUUGUGGCAACGCUCCAGCUCCUCCUCCCGCACAGCUUCUCCCAGAGUGCGGGCGAGCGGUGCAAACGCGUCGACGACACGAUAGGAACUAUGGAAG